rnacentral:snRNA from 1 species
AAAUGACCAGGCUGUGACAUGUCACCCCAUUGAUCAGUAGGGUUGAUUCGGCUGAUCUGGCUAGCUAGGCAUGGGUGUCUCCUUCCUCCCUCACCACUCCAAGUGUCUCUCCCGAAGCUGUCCGGGUUUAACCAGUUUUUCUGUCAAGGGGUAUACAAGUAAUUGCUCGCCUGCUAGAGCCUCCAAACAAAGCUCUCAAGAUCCAUUUGUAGGAGAACUGGAUAUCAAGCUUACAAGACUCCAGACACAUCCAAAUGAGGCAAUGCCUUUCUUU